rnacentral:rRNA from 1 species
GAUGAACGCUGGCGGCGUGCUUAACACAUGCAAGUCGAACGAAGCACCUUGAUUUGAUUCUUCGGAUGAAGAUCUUGGUGACUGAGCGGCGGACGGGUGAGUAACGCGUGGGUAACCUGCCUCAUACAGGGGGAUAACAGUUAGAAAUGACUGCUAAUACCGCAUAAGACCACAGUACCGCAUGGUACAGGGGUAAAAACUCCGGUGGUAUGAGAUGGACCCGCGUCUGAUUAGGUAGUUGGCGGGGUAACGGCCUACCAAGCCGACGAUCAGUAGCCGACCUGAGAGGGUGACCGGCCACAUUGGGACUGAGACACGGCCCAAACUCCUACGGGAGGCAGCAAUGAGGAAUAUUGCACAAUGGGGGAAACCCUGAUGCAGCGACGCCGCGUGAGCGAUGAAGUAUUUCGGUAUGUAAAGCUCUAUCAGCAGGGAAGAAAAUGACGGUACCUGACUAAGAAGCACCGGCUAAAUACGUGCCAGCAGCCGCAGUAAGAC